rnacentral:rRNA from 1 species
GGAACCGGUAGGGGAUAGAGGUAUUUCAAGGGGAGCGGUAAAAUGCUAUAAUCCUUGGAGGACCACCGAUGGCGAAGGCAUCUAUCCAGGACGGAUUCGACGGUCAGGAACGAAGGCUAGGGGAGCAAAACGGAUUAGAUACCCGAGUAGUCCUAGCUGUAAACGCUGUGAGCUGAGUGUUGCAUUUUCUUCGUGGAUGUGCAGCGCUUAAGUGAAGAUGUUAAGCUCACCGCCUGGGAAGUAUAGUCGCAAGACCGAAACUUAAAGGAAUUGGCGGGGGCUCGCUACAAGGAGUGCGGCGUGCGGUUUAAUCUAACUAUACGCAGAAAAUCUUACCAGCAGCGACGGCAGAAUGAAGGUCAGAUUGAAGGUUUUACCUGACAAGCCGAGAGGUGGUGCAUGGCCGCCGUCAGUUCGUGCCGUAAGGUGUUACGUUAAGUCGUAAAACGAACGAGACCCAUGCUCAUAUUUGCUAGCAUCUUCUCCGGAAGGAAUGAGCACAAUAUGAGGACUGCCUUGGAAACAAGGAGGAAGGUGUGGGCAACGGUAGGUCUGUAUGCCCCGAAUCUGCUGGGCUACACGCGCGCAACAAUGGUAGGGACAAUGGGAUGCAACUCCGAGAGGAGAAGCUAAGCCUCUAAACCCUAUCCUAGUUCAGAUUGAGGGCUGUAACUCGCCCCCAUGACGAUGGAAUUCCUAGUAAUCGGAUUUCAACACGGUCCGGUGAACACGUCCCCGAGCCUUGUACACACUGCCCGUCAAGCCAACCGAGCAGGGUUUUGGUGAGGACUAAUUUUGAUUAGUCAAAUCAGAGUCAGAUGA